GUCCCGGUGGUCCAGGGGUAGGGCAUGAGACUGCAGUUCUUAAAGUCGCGUGUUCGAGUCACGCUCGGGACU
rfam:Byssochlamys spectabilis No. 5 DNA, contig: PVAR5_00011_1.